rnacentral:rRNA from 1 species
UACGGAGGAUCCGAGCGUUAUCCGGAUUUAUUGGGUUUAAAGGGUGCGCAGGCGGGAGAUUAAGUCGGCGGUGAAAUUUUGCAGCUCAACUGUAAAAGUGCCUUCGAAACUGGUUUCCUUGAGUGUAGAUGAAGUAGGCUGAAUUUGUGGUGUAGCGGUGAAAUGCAUAGAUAUCACGAGGAACUCCGAUUGCGCAGGCAGCUUACUAAACUACUACUGACGCUCAGGCACGAAGGCGUGGGGAUCAAACAGGAUUAGAUACCCU